rnacentral:rRNA from 1 species
GACGAACGCUGGCGGCGUGCUUAACACAUGCAAGUCGAACGGAAAGGCCCUGCUUUUGUGGGGUGCUCGAGUGGCGAACGGGUGAGUAACACGUGAGUAACCUGCCCUUGACUUUGGGAUAACUUCAGGAAACUGGGGCUAAUACCGGAUAGGAGCUCCUGCUGCAUGGUGGGGGUUGGACAGUUUCGGCGGUUGGGGAUGGACUCGCGGCUUAUCAGCUUGUUGGUGGGGGAGUGGCUUACCAAGGCUUUGACGGGUAGCCGGCAUGGGAGGGUGACCGGCCACAUUGGGACUGAGGGACGGAGCAGACUCCUACGGGAGGCAGCAGUGGGGAAUAUUGCACAAUGGGCGGAAGCCUGAUGCAGCAACGCCGCGUGCGGGAUGACGGCCUUCGGGUGGUAAACCGCUUUCGCCUGUGACGAAGCGUGAGUGACGGUAAUGGGUAAAGAAGCACCGGCUAACUACGUG